rnacentral:rRNA from 1 species
GCAAGUCGAGGGGUAACAUUGGAGCUUGCUCCAGAUGACGACCGGCGCACGGGUGCGUAACGCGUAUAGAACCUACCUUUUACAGAGGGAUAGCCUUUAGAAAUGAAGAUUAAUACCUCAUAGUAUUGAGAAAUCGCAUGAUUACUUAAUUAAAGAUUUAUCGGUAAAAGAUGGCUAUGCGUCCUAUUAGCUAGAUGGAGAGGUAACGGCUCCCCAUGGCAACGAUAGGUAGGGGUCCUGAGAGGGAGAUC